rnacentral:rRNA from 1 species
UCGAGGAUUUUUCUCAAUGGGGGAAACCCUGAAGGAGCGACGCCGCGUGGGGGAUGAAGGUCUUCGGAUUGUAAACCCCUGUCACUUGGGAACAAAUUGGAUCACCUAACACGUGAUCCAUUGAUUGUACCAGGAGAGGAAGCAGUGGCUAACUCUGUGCCAGCAGCCGCGGUAAUACAGAGACUGCAAGCGUUGUUCGGAUUCAUUGGGCGUAAAGGGUGCGUAGGCGGUGAGGUAAGUCGGAUGUGAAAUCCCGGAGCUUAACUUCGGAAGUGCAUCCGAAACUACCUUACUCGAGGACUGGAGGGGAGACUGGAAUUCUCGGUGUAGCGGUGAAAUGCGUAGAUAUCGAGAGGAACACCUGUGGCGAAGGCGGGUCUCUGGACAGUUCCUGACGCUGAGGCACGAAAGCUAGGGUAGCAAACGGGAUUAGAUACCCCCGUAGUCC